rnacentral:rRNA from 1 species
UACGUAGGGUGCGAGCGUUAAUCGGAAUUACUGGGCGUAAAGCGUGCGCAGGCGGUUUUGUAAGUCAGAUGUGAAAUCCCCGGGCUCAACCUGGGAACUGCGUUUGAAACUACAAGGCUAGAGUGUAGCAGAGGGGGUAGAAUUCCACGGUGUAGCAGUGAAAUGCGUAGAGAUGUGGAGGAAUACCAAUGGCGAAGGCAGCCCCCUGGGU